rnacentral:rRNA from 1 species
AUGAAGGACGAAAAACAGGCUGAGAAGGAGUACGCUGAUUUCGAGGCGAGGGUCAAGAGGACGAUAUACAUCGACCACCUCUCCCCUCUGGUCACCAGCCAGGUCAUCAAGGCGUCUCUCGCCCAGUGCGCCAAUGUCGUCAACACGGAGUUCAUCGAGAACUACACGAUCGAGUACGAGAUCCCCGCCGCUGCGUUGGUGGAGGUGGACAACGUGUCGCAGGCCCAGGCUGCUGUGGACCUGAUGAACAACUUCCCUUUCAUGCUCGGCGGGAUGCCCAGGCCUGUGAGGGCUGCCUUUGCAAAGCCCGAGAUGUUUCCGGACCGCCCUAGGAAGCCUGGCUUGAAGAUUGAGUUCAGCUGGGUAAAGCAGGGAGAUCCGGGGUAUGAUGGGAUGAAUAAGCUCAAGGGCCUUAUGAGGAGGCAAGAAGCAGAAAAUAUGGCACUCAUCAAGAAUCAAUUGGAAGAGGAGAAGGAGCUGGCGGCGCAGCAGCAGGAAACCCUGGUAGCAAACAGCAAUAAGUACGACAUGCUGGAGAACCUCGUGAACAACGGGGAAAUCACUAAACUCGCUCAGCAUUACAAGGUCAAGCUGGGCGACGACUGA